UGGGGAAUAUUGGACAAUGGGGGCAACCCUGAUCCAGCGACGCCGCGUGUGUGAAGAAGGCCUGCGGGUUGUAAAGCACUUUUAGUGGGGAUGAAAAGCACAUUGCUAAUACCAGUGUGUCUUGACCUAACCCAAAGAAAAAGCACCGGCUAACUCUGUGCCAGCAGCCGCGGUAAUACAGAGGGUGCGAGCGUUAAUCNGANUUACUGGGCGUAAAGCGUGCGUAGACGGUUAUUUAAGUCGGAUGUGAAAGCCCCGGGCUCAACCUGGGAAUUGCAUUCGAGACUGAAUAGCUAGGGUACGGUAGAGGGAAGUGGAAUUUCCGGUGUAGCGGUGAAAUGCGUAGAUAUCGGAAGGAACAUCAGUGGCGAAAGCGACUUCCUGGACCAGUACCGACGUUCAGGCACGAAAGCGUGGGGAGCAAACAGGAUUAGAUACCCUGGUAGUCCACGCCAUAAACGAUGAGGACUAGACGUUGGAGGGGUAAGCCUUUCAGUGUCGUAGCUAACGCGCUAAGUCCUCCGCCUGGGGAGUACGGCCGCAAGGUUG
rnacentral:rRNA from 1 species